UGCCUUUAGUCUGAAUGGCCAUACUUGCAUUUAAAGUCCUUUAAAGUCUCAGUGUAGAAAAAUGCUAUUUUUGCGUUCUUGCAAAGUCUGCCAUCUACCGUUCACCAACUCUACUAAGACUUCUACUAAGGGGCUCAGGGUGCAUAUCCUCUGCACACCUUCCUCUGAGUUCCUGCUAUUAAUGCUAACACUGCGCCUAUGGACCACGCCUCACUGAAGCAGAUGCCUUGUCUGUCUUGUACACUCAAUCAUUUUAUUUUUACAUUUCACAGCUUGGAAGAGUAGAGAUUGAAGCAGUGGCCAUUGUGGGUGAGGUAAAGGACGAGUAGACAGACAUGCACUGCCGUGAUGAGCACAAAAAUCUUAAGAUAAUCAAAAUUCAUAUAUGUCAAGAGGUUACCACAAGUAAACUGUGAAGGAUAUUUUAAAUCUUUUGGAGACUUUUAUAACUUCACUAACGGCACCGUAAUGAAGAUAUUAAUCACAGUAGACUUUGGACCACCUCGCUUCUAAAAGACUGCCUUUUGAAGGCAAUUUGAACGCGUUUUGGUCAAAUCCAGUGGCGGAUCCAGACCUUGAAUUAAGGGGGGUGAGGGCGGUUUUGUUUGCUCGCCCUGCCGGCUUUUCUUCCUUCUGUUAUUCUUCGUUUUUUACCCAAAAUAAAGGGGGCCAGGCCCCGCGGGCCCCUCCCCUAGAUCCGCCACUGAAAUCGUAGCUAAAUUAUGUCGAAAUACCUUCGUUAACGUUUGUAUAGCAAAUGCACCUGAAACAUUUAGCUAAAGAUAUUUGGUAUCUUUUCAAGACACGAGGACAGACUUUGAAAAAAGAUGCCCGACUUUUUCAAGGCAAUUUGAGAUCAAGGCCUUUUCCAAUGUGAUGGAUUUUCUCUGGUAACUCAUUCUAACAUCCCUGCCGGUGUAGCGCUUCAGUGCACUAUUAUAGUUCUUAAUAAAGGUGGCGCAUUA